rnacentral:rRNA from 1 species
ACGGAAUAGAUACCCUGGUAGUCCCAGCCGUAAACGAUGCUCGCUAGGUGUCAGGCAUGGCGCGACCGUGUCUGGUGCCGCAGGGAAGCCGUGAAGCGAGCCACCUGGGAAGUACGGCCGCAAGGCUGAAACUUAAAGGAAUUGGCGGGGAGCACAACAACGGUGGAGCCUGCGGUUUAAUUUGGACUCAACGCCGGACAACUCACCGGGGGCGGACAGCAAUAUGUAGGCCAGGCUGAAGACCUUGCCUGAAUCGCUGAGAGGAGGUGCAUGGCCGUCGCCAGUUCGUACUGUGAAGCAUCCUGUUAAGUCAGGCAACGAGCGAGACCCGUGCCCACUGUUACCAGCAUGUCCUCCGGGACGAUGGGUACUCUGUGGGGACCGCCGAUGUUAAAUCGGAGGAAGGUGCGGGCCACGGUAGGUCAGUAUGCCCCGAAUCUCCCGGGCUACACGCGGGCUACAAUGGAUGGG